CCUACGGGUGGCAGCAGUGAGGAAUAUUGGUCAAUGGUCGGGAGACUGAACCAGCCAAGCCGCGUGAGGGAUGAAGGUACAGAGUAUCGUAAACCUCUUUUGUCAGGGAACAAAGGCGGGGACGUGUCCCCGGAUGAGUGUACCUGAAGAAAAAGCAUCGGCUAACUCCGUGCCAGCAGCCGCGGUAAUACGGAGGAUGCGAGCGUUAUCCGGAUUUAUUGGGUUUAAAGGGUGCGUAGGCGGAUUUUUAAGUCAGCGGUAAAAUGUCCGGGCUCAACCCGGGCCGGCCGUUGAAACUGGGGAUCUUGAGUGGGCGAGAAGUAUGCGGAAUGCGUGGUGUAGCGGUGAAAUGCAUAGAUAUCACGCAGAACUCCGAUUGCGAAGGCAGCAUACCGGCGCCCGACUGACGCUGAGGCACGAAAGCGUGGGGAUCGAACAGGAUUAGAUACCCGGGUAGUC
rnacentral:rRNA from 1 species